rnacentral:rRNA from 1 species
GAUGAACGCUGGCGGCGUGCCUAAUACAUGCAAGUCGAGCGAAUGGAUUAAGAGCUUGCUCUUAUGAAGUUAGCGGCGGACGGGUGAGUAACACGUGGGUAACCUGCCCAUAAGACUGGGAUAACUCCGGGAAACCGGGGCUAAUACCGGAUAACAUUUUGAACCGCAUGGUUCGAAAUUGAAAGGCGGCUUCGGCUGUCACUUAUGGAUGGACACGCGUCGCAUUAGCUAGUUGGUGAGGUAACGGCUCACCAAGGCAACGAUGCAAAGCCGACCUGAGAGGGUGAUCGGCCACACUGGGACUGAGACACGGCCCAGACUCCUACGGGAGGCAGCAGCAGGGAAUCUUCCGCAAUGGACGAAAGUCUGACGGAGCAACGCCGCGUGAGUGAUGAAGGCUUUCGGGUCGUAAAACUCUGUUGUUAGGGAAGAACAAGUGCUAGUUGAAUAAGCUGGCACCUUGACGGUACCUAACCAGAAAGCCACGGCUAACUACGUGCCAGCAGCCGCAGUAA